rnacentral:rRNA from 1 species
AUCAUGAGUUCACAUGUCCGCAUGAUUAAAGGUAUUUUCCGGUAGACGAUGGGGAUGCGUUCCAUUAGAUAGUAGGCGGGGUAACGGCCCACCUAGUCAACGAUGGAUAGGGGUGCUGAGAGGAAGGUCCCCCACAUUGGAACUGAGACACGGUCCAAACUCCUACGGGAGGCAGCAGUGAGGAAUAUUGGUCAAUGGGCGAUGGCCUGAACCAGCCAAGUAGCGUGAAGGAUGACUGCCCUAUGGGUUGUAAACUUCUUUUAUAAAGGAAUAAAGUCGGGUAUGCAUACCCGUUUGCAUGUACUUUAUGAAUAAGGAUCGGCUAACUCCGUGCCAGCAGCCGCGGUAAUACGGAGGAUCCGAGCGUUAUCCGGAUUUAUUGGGUUUAAAGGGAGCGUAGAUGGAUGUUUAAGUCAGUUGUGAAAGUUUGCGGCUCAACCGUAAAAUUGCAGUUGAUACUGGAUGUCUUGAGUGCAGUUGAGGCAGGCGGAAUUCGUGGUGUAGCGGUGAAAUGCUUAGAUAUCACGAAGAACUCCGAUUG